UUUGUCGGGGAAGAAUAGGCAGGAUGCGUCCUGUUGUGACGGUACCCGAUGAAUAAGCCACGGCUAACUACGUGCCAGCAGCCGCGGUAAUACGUAGGUGGCAAGCGUUGUCCGGAUUUAUUGGGUUUAAAGGGUGCGUAGGUGGUUUAUUAAGUCAGUGGUGAAAGCUGGUUGCUCAACAAUCAAGUUGCCAUUGAUACUGAUAGACUUGAGAGAAGUGGAGGUUCAUGGAAUGGAUGGUGUAGCGGUGAAAUGCAUAGAUAUCAUCCAGAACGUCGAUUGCGAAGGCAGUGGGCUGUACUUUUUCUGACACUGAGGCACGAAAAGCGUGGGGAUCAAACAGGAUUAGAUACCCUGGUAGUCCACGCUGUAAACGAUGCGAACUAGCUUUUUGGUUAGGAUUAGGAGGCUAAGGGAAACCGAUAAGUUCGCCACCUGGGGAGUACGCCGGCAACGGUGAACUCAAGAAUGACGGGGGGUCCGGCACCAAGCGGUGGAGCGA
rnacentral:rRNA from 1 species